GUGUCAGCAGCCGCGGUAAUACCAGCUCUCCGAGUGGUAGGGACGAUUAUUGGGCUUAAAGCGUCCGUAGCCGGCUUAGCAAGUCUCCUGUUAAAUUCAGCGACCUAAUCGUUGAGCCGCGGGAGAUACUACUAGGCUAGGAGGCGGGAGAGGUCGACGGUACUUCCGGGGUAGGGGUGAAAUCCUAUAAUCCCGGGAGGACCACCAGUGGCGAAGGCUGUCGACUAGAACGCGCUCGACGGUGAGGGACGAAAGCUGGGGGAGCGAACCGGAUUAGAUACCCGGGUAGUCCCAGCCGUAAACGAUGCGGGCUAGGUGUUGGAGUGGCUACGUGCCACUUCAGUGCCGCAGGGAAGCCAUUAAGCCCGCCGCCUGGGGAGUACGGCCGCAAGGCUGAAACUCAAAUGAAUUGGCGGGG
rnacentral:rRNA from 1 species